GGGUGAGUAACACGUAAGUGAUUUGCCCCGGAGAGGGGGAUAACCCGGAGAAGUCCGGCCUAAUACCCCGUACGCUCUAGAGAGGAAAGUUCCCGCUCUGGGAGAAGCUUGCGGCCUAUCAGGUAGUUGGUGGGGUAAAAGCCUACCAAGCCGAAGACGGGUAACCGGUGUGAGAGCACGAUCGGUCAGAGGGGGACCGAGACACGGCCCCCACUCCUACGGGAGGCAGCAGCAGGGAAUCUUGCGCAAUGGGCGAAAGCCUGACGUAGCGACACCGCGUGGGGGACGAAGGCUCUCGAGUUGUAAACCCCUUUUCUCGGGGAAGAGCGGUACCCGGGGAAUAAGGUUCGGCUAACUACGUGCCAGCAGCCGCGGUAAUACGUAGGAACCGAGCGUUGUCCGGAUUUACUGGGCGUAAAGUGCGCGUAGGCGGUUCGUUAAGUCUCAUGUGAAAUCUCCCGGCUCAACUGGGAGG
rnacentral:rRNA from 1 species